CUUGUACACACCGCCCGUCACACCAUGGGAGUGGGUUUCACCAGAAGUAGGUAGCUUAACCUUCGGGAGGGCGCUUACCACGGUGAGAUUCAUGACUGGGGUG
rnacentral:rRNA from 1 species